GUGAAGUUAGCUAACAAAUUUUAAUCGCGAGUGAAUAUUAAGUUUUUGCAACUGUGUAGUGUAAGAUGUAGUCAAAUAUUUUUUAAUAAUUGAUUAACAAUUUGCGUCAUUUCAUAAAUAAAUUAAAAAAAAUACCUUUGAACGUAGAUAUUGACAUUUGUAACGUAACUGAUGGAUCAACAAAUCCAUUGAAGCACCUGACAUAACGCCCAAAUCACAUUUUCGAAUAAAAGAAACUAUGGAAAUUGAUAUUAAAUUAUAUUUGUUUACAAAUAGAGAUAAAAGUUUUCUUAACCUGUACAUGGUGGAUUAUAAACAAGCUCAUUAAUAUCAGACGAUAAUUAAUUUCGAACAGAUUGAAGUCCAAGGAAGAAAUUUUUUUUAAAGAAAUGAUAGUGGGGAUUACACCAGAUGCCAUUCUUCUAAACGGUAUAAAAACUGUGAAACCAUAUGAAAUUAAUGGAGAGAAUCCAAAAUCCGAUUUAAAUAAAAUAACAGAUUUGAUUAAUAAAUAUGUUUAAUCUAAUUAUUCUUAGAGACAAAAUUAUUUACUUAUUGAAUCAAAUCUAUUAGUAUAUUAUUUUAAAUGUAAUACUUAUCAGAUUAUGGACUAUGGUUAUUUAAAAUUCGAAAUGUGCACUUUUCACACUAAUCACUAAAAAAACAGAUUCCCACAGUAAGGUGUUCCACAGAUAACAAAAUUUAUCACAUUCAAAACACUUUUCCGGAUUAUAAUACUUAAUACAUGACGCUUUUGUAUAAUCAAUUUUAUAUAUUAUUUUAUUUCAAAAAAUUGUAUUUGUGCUUAAUUUAAUAAAGAGUAAUGAAGCCAAGCUUUAUGUGCUGUUAAUAAGUACAAUUUAUAUGGUGUUUUGUCAUCAGAAUACAAAUAACAUCAAUUCGUAGCUUAAAAUCGGAUAAAAUCUAUGAAAUUGUACUUAUUUAUAUCAAUUUUUACUACAACAAAAAUGUGCAUAAAUAAAAUUCUAAGCUCAAAGUCUACUUGAAAAAACUGCACGACACGACAUAUACCUUUUUACCUUUUAGCAUUCCCAAUGUAAUUUUGCCAUGAUCGUUUUUCUUGAUCAUUUUUGUUUAGUAUUUUUACGAAAUGACAACAAAUGUUAUAUGACAAUCACAUUUAGCAUUAGAUAUUUACUUCUGUGACAGAUGCUAGCAAUAAAUUUGUUUAAUUAACAAAAUAUUGUACAUGGGAAUCACCUUACUUUUAUUGAGAUCCAUUGUUCAACAGUCCAUAAUCUUCUAUUGAUUAGUUGUAAUUAAUUCAACUAGAUAUUAUUUAUUACUUUAAACACGCAAUUUAUGUCUCAGUUUCGUAAAACGUUACAAAAUCACUUGCCUUUAAUUAACUUCGCAAUUUUGUUCAAUAAUUGUUUAAUUUUUAUACCGGAACAACUGUCAAAUAUUCAAUCAAUCACCUGCCAAUUGUUAAAUUGCGCUUCUUCUUUUUUCAUUAAACUGUGCUCAUAAUACACCCAAGCAAAUCUCAUUUUAUCAGGACUGAAUAGUCUGCUUGAAAAAGGCACUUUUCUGUAGGAGAAAUAGAUAAAUUUGCCAGUAUAAAAAUAGAAAAUACUCUUGGAGAUAAAAAGCGAUAUUACGAAAUAGAAAAUACUAUAGAUGUUUACACUUGUGAUUGAUAAUAUAUACUAAUACAGUGAAAUGGUAGAAUCAAAAGAAUAGUUAUUAUUAUUAGCCAAAAUUUCGACUAAAAUUUGUUGAUGCUUAUGAUUUUGUAAUAAAAUAUGAUAACAGUUUAUUCAAACUUAUUACAAAGGUAUGUGAGUUCUCGAAUAAUCGUUAUUGCUAAUUAAAAAUAAAAUAUAUCAUCGUCUUUUA